ACAGCAGUCGCCGCGGUAAUACGGAGGGUGCAAGCGUUAAUCGGAAUUACUGGGCGUAAAGCGCACGCAGGCGGUCUGACAAGUCAGAUGUGAAAUCCCCGGGCUUAACCUGGGAACUGCAUUUGAAACUGUCAGGCUGGAGUCUUGUAGAGGGGGGUAGAAUUCCAGGUGUAGCGGUGAAAUGCGUAGAGAUCUGGAGGAAUACCGGUGGCGAAGGCGGCCCCCUGGACAAAGACUGACGCUCAGGUGCGAAAGCGUGGGGAGCAAACAGGAUUAGAUACCCCUGUAGUCCCUGUCUCUUAUCC
rnacentral:rRNA from 1 species